GGGCGCGUAGAUUAGUAGUAGAUCGCCUGCCUCGCACGCAGGAGGUCAGGGGUUCAAUUCCCCUCGCGUCCACCA
rnacentral:tRNA from 1 species